GAUGAACGCUGGCGGCGUGCCUAAUACAUGCAAGUCGAGCGAACAGAUGAGGAACUUGCUCCUCGGACGUUAGCGGCGGACGGGAGAGUAACACGUGGAUAACGUACCUAUAAGACUGGGAUAACUUGGGGAAACCGGAGCUAAUACCGGAUAAUAUAUUGAACCGCAGGGUUCAAUAGUGAGAGACGGUGUUGCUGUCACUUAUAGAUGGAUCCGCGCCGCAUGAGCUAGUUGGUAAGGUAACGGCUUACCAAGGCAACGAUGCGUAGCCGACCUGAGAGGGUGAUCGGCGACACUGGAACUGAGACACGGUCCAGACUCCUACGGGAGGCAGCAGUAGGGAAUCUUCCGCAAUGGGCGAAAGCCUGACGGAGCAACGCCGCGUGAGUGAUGAAGGUCUUCGGAUCGUAAACCUCUGUUAUUAGGGACGAACAGAUGUUUAAGUAACCAUGCACGUAUUGACGGUACCUAAUCAGAAAGCAACGGCUAACUACGUG
rnacentral:rRNA from 1 species